rnacentral:rRNA from 1 species
CGGAACGUGCCCAAUCGUGGGGGAUAGCUCGGCGAAAGCCGGAUUAAUGCCGCAUACGAUCUACGGAUGAAAGCAGGGGACUCGCAAGAGCCUUGCGCGAAUGGAGCGGCCGAUGGCAGAUUAGGUAGUUGGUGGGGUAAAGGCUCACCAAGCCGACGAUCUGUAGCUGGUCUGAGAGGACGACCAGCCACACUGGGACUGAGACACGGCCCAGACUCCUACGGGAGGCAGCAGUGGGGAAUUUUGGACAAUGGGCGCAAGCCUGAUCCAGCAAUGCCGCGUGCAGGAUGAAGGCCUUCGGGUUGUAAACUGCUUUUGUACGGAACGAAAAGGCUCUGGUUAAUACCUGGGGCUCAUGACGGUACCGUAAGAAUAAGCACCGGCUAACUACGUGCCAGCAGCCGCGGUAAUACGUAGGGUGCGAGCGUUAAUCGGAAUUACUGGGCGUAAAGCGUGCGCAGGCGGUGAUGUAAGACAGUUGUGAAAUCCCCGGGCUCAACCUGGGAACUGCAUCUGUGACUGCAUCGCUGGAGUGCGGCAGAGGGGGAUGGAAUUCCGCGU